rnacentral:lncRNA from 1 species
UUCUGUUUUGGACUUGCUCAUUUGAGUUGAGCUACCUUCUUGAUUCUUCCUUUGUUUCUUUCUUUGAAGUAGUCUCUCGAGUUUUCUUGAGAGUAUUUCAAUUUCUUCAUCAAAAUCUUCGUGAUCACUUUCAUUGUUGCUCUCGAUUUGAAGUGCCAAUGUUUUCUUUAUUGAUGCUUCAUCCUCUUCAUCAUACCUCUUGAGUUGAUUUUUAAAUUCUUCAAGCUCUCCAAACAAG